CAGACAUUCUCUCCUCUGAAUUGGAGUGAUGGCGAUAAAGACACAAAUGGGAUCCUUCUCUCUCUCAGGGUCCCCCCGCCCUCCCCCAGCAUGGGGCCCGGCAGCCACACCUUGAAUCUGUGGGUCACUCAGCACCUAUGGCACAGUGCUAAGUACAACACCCAGCACCUUACUCAAGUCACCUUUGCCAGCGGCAUGCCUCCCAGUCCCUCCCUUGGGAGCACGCCUUGGCAAUGGCGUGACUGGGUGGUGAAGAACCUGGGGAUUGUGCAACCUUGCGAGGUUGUGUAACUACCACGGCUGCACUUUUUGCACAGUCGGCUAGAGUCUGCAGCGAGGUUCCCGCGAAGAAAAAGUAUGGGCAGAAGCUUUCUGAUUGUGAUUUACCAAGAAGCGGCACAGUCUCUGCAGGAAAUAUGUCAGCUGCCCCAUUGUCCUCUUAUUUAAAGUAGGAUAGACACCAAGCUUGAGAAAACGUGAACAGGAGGACUCAGAGGCAGAAAAUGCGAGCAACCAAGUCAGUCUCAGUCAUGACUCACAAGCUCCAACUUCACUUAUGGAGCCAUCCAGUGAAAUCAAAGUGAUGGUGAGAACAGGGAGCAGCAAUGAUCAGAGGGAGCCAAAAGAGCUCUGAUGAGAGGAACCAUGUCAUUUUCUCAGCCAUUAUUUUUGGUGUCUCCCUAAAGACCAUUUACUUGGAACUUAGACAGGAGACUAAAGUCUGUGAUCUCUGGGUUUGCUUAGCUCUGUAGACAGCUGGUAUAUCACAUACAAAAUAUUACCCCACGCUCUCAUAGUGUGAUGAGUUGUUAAUAAAACCAUUCCAAAUUU